GUGUCAGCAGCCGCGGUAAUACAGAGGGUGCGAGCGUUAAUCGGAGUUACUGGGCGUAAAGGGCGCGUAGGUGGUUGUGUGUGAGUGAUGUGAAAGCCCCGGGCUUAACCUGGGAAGUGCAUCGCUAACUGCAUAACUUGAGUAGGUGAGAGGGUAGCGGAAUUUCCGGUGUAGCGGUGAAAUGCGUAGAGAUCGGAAGGAACGUCAAUGGCGAAGGCAGCUACCUGGCACCAUACUGACACUGAGGCGCGAAAGCGUGGGGAGCGAACAGGAUUAGAUACCCUGGUAGUCC
rnacentral:rRNA from 1 species